rnacentral:ncRNA from 2 species
ACUAAGGGUAGAGGCGCAUUGUCUAUAAGUAACAAGCUGGAGGGUGAUUCCUAUGAUUGCUUGUGAAAGGAGCCAAUGCCGAAGUAAGAAGGCGUUAAUCGAACGUUCUUGCUGGGGUUGUAUCGAAUAGGUGCAACACUGCCAUAGUAUAUAAUUACAUUAACUAUGGAGCGCUACUGUGAGG